UGUCAAUGUGUUAACAUUUAACUUGUUUUUAGAGAGGUAAAUAGAGGUAAAAGAGCGGAAAUAGCGUUACUGUUGUUCCUAAUUUGAUGGCUUUGACGGCAUGAGAGGGAAGAAAAGUCAAGUGUGGCUAUUCGUUCGUGUUUAAAAUGGGCAAAUGCUCCUUCUCACGUUAUCUCUUUUGUAUACAACUGAAACAUUAAUUGGCUCACCUGAGGUACCACCAUUCAGAGUUGUAGCGUUCUGGGGGUGUAUUCCCGCCGAACACGCCCCAUCUCCACUGGUCGAUGAGGUAGCCAAAAGGAAGGAAGGCUAUCUUCUCCAGAGCCAUCUUUAACAGGAUCAGAAGUCACGGAAUCCAGUAGUCCAAUGGUCUUCAGAUGUUUUGGAGUUGAAACCGACAAAGACAAGACGUCGCCGAUAGCCUCGUGAAAUCCAGGAUUGGCCCCACGACGGAAGCCCACCGGUUGGUCCUUGUACUGCAGGUAAUACUGGAUGUGGCCCAUCUCGUGGUGGACGGUAAAGAGCUGCUCCAUCGUCACAGUCGUACACUGCUUGAUCCUAUAACACAUGCAAUCCAUUAAUAUACACAACAUGUUUUGAUGCAGUCAAAAGAGGUAGAGGAGUAACCCAAAUAAUACAAUGAACAUUUGAUGUCCACUCUUUUUCAAGGCCUGUAUUUUAAAAAUACGAUGAAA